rnacentral:tmRNA from 1 species
UCACUUCACAUUAAGCUGCAAGCGCCUAUAUCGGUGCUGCCCGUUUCGGCGGGAUAUGGCGAUAAAUGGCCUCGUGUAAUAGACGCAACGGACCCGGGGGCAGUACCCGGCGGCUCCACCACCGAACCCCACAGGGGCGCGAUGACGGGGCCGAACCAGGAUCGACGUGUGUUGAAAGACGUGUGUUUUCGCCCGGGCUGAGUAACCCGUAAAACUGUUCACAACACACAAGUGCCAACGAUAACGAAGCACUCGCAAUCGCAGCGUAAUGUGACGGGCUAACGCCCUGAAGUUACAAAGCUAAAGCGCGGUUGGACCCACCGGGCAACAGAAGCGGAUUCCG